rnacentral:rRNA from 1 species
UGGGGAAUUUUCCGCAAUGGGCGAAAGCCUGACGGAGCAAUACCGCGUGAGGGAGGAAGGCUCUUGGGUCGUAAACCUCUUUUCUCAAGGAAGAAAAAAAUGACGGUACUUGAGGAAGAAGCAUCGGCUAACUCCGUGCCAGCAGCCGCGGUAAUACGGAGGAUGCAAGCGUUAUCCGGAAUGAUUGGGCGUAAAGGGUCUGUAGGUGGCGAUGCAAGUCUGGGGUUAAAGAGUCUAGCUCAACUAGAUAAAAGCCGUGGAAACUGCCGAGCUAGAGUAGGGUAGGGGCAAGAGGAAUUCCUGGUGUAGCGGUGAAAUGCGUAGAGUUCAGGAAGAACACCGGUGGCGAAAGCGUCUUGCUAGACCCUAACUGACACUGAGGGACGAAAGCUAGGGGAGC